rnacentral:rRNA from 1 species
AACCUGGUUGAUCCUGCCAGUAGUCAUAUGCUUGUCUCAAAGAUUAACCCAUGCAUGUGUAAGUAUAGUAAUAUACAGCGAAACUGCGAAUGGCUCCUUAAAACAGUUAUAAUUUAUUUGAUGGAUAAAGGAUAUGGAUAACCGUAGUAAUUCUAGAGCUAAUACAUGCUUGAAAGCCCAACUCACGGAGGGCUGCAUUUAUUAGAUAAAGCCAAUAUUUAGGUGAUUCAUUAUAAACUAGCGGAUCGCGGCUCUUGUCGCGACAUGUCAUUCAAGUAUGUGACCUAUCAGCUUUGAUGGUAGUGUAUUGGACUACCAUGGCAUUAACGGGUAACGGGGAAUUAGGGUUCGAUUCCGGAGAAAGAGCCUGAGAAACGGCUAUUACAUCUACGGACGGCAGCAGGGGCGUAAAUUACCCAAUCUUGACUUAAGGAAGUAGUGACAAGAAAUAUCGAACUAGUGAUAAACUAGGAUUGAAAUGGACCAAAUUUAAUACCCUUGGCGAGUAACAAUUGGAGGGCAAGUCUGGUGCCAGCAGCCGCGGUAAUUCCAGCUCCAAUAGCAUAUAUUAAAGUUGUUGCAGUUAAAAAGCUCGUAGUUGGAUAUCUGGAGUAGCUGGAUGGGGUUUCCCCCCUGUCCAUGGUAUAUCCAUCCUUCUGUUAACGCGUGUUGGUACUCGUACUGGACGUGGGCUCAGAUAUUUUACC